UUGACAGGUUGUGCUGCUAGUUCAGGCACUACGUUCCCGAAACUCUGUGUGCCCGUGCUGGUGGUGAAAACGGCAGGCAUACUAUGCCCAGCCCUGUGCCUGAGUUUCCCUGCUUGGCACUUUGAUCAGCUCAUCCUAAACCAGAGCUGAGGCAUUAGCCAAAAUGCAAGCAAUCCGGGAAUCUGAGCUUGAAUACAAGUCAGAGCUUGCAGGAUCACAUUGGUUGUGAAAGCAUCUUUAUUCUUGAUCUGCAGGAAAGAUUUCCUCGUGCUGUUUUCUGUGCAGAACUGAUGGGAUCGGGAUUGCUGACUGUCAGGCGACAAGGGAACCCGCCAGCUCACAGAAGGUAGGGAAACCCAGCCAACAAAGUUGCUGGAGGUGAAGAGGGAGUUAGCAGCAGUUCUGGAUCAAAUCUGAAGCCUUGCUCAAUCACAUCUUUCUUCUCCAUCUUCCAGACAGCAAUCUGAAUACAGCUGUUUGUCUCCUCUCUGUGAUUUAUUCUGUGUAACAACACUGAUUCUUUUUCAAAGCAGCCUCUGAUUUCAGUUUGUUGACACUAGUUGCGCAUAUAUAUGUAAUUAUGUAGGAUUAUCAGUGUGCUACAGAAGGCCCACUUUUUAUAUCAUACUUCUAAAAACCACUGGCAAUGAAGUGCCAUGAUUCUCCUUGCACAUUCUUGUUUCGGGGAUGCAAAGAGAAAACAAGUAACUGUAAGCGUAACUCUUGUUUCAUACAAAUAAACAAUGCUUAUGUGGAUGUGUGACAGAUGUUA